AUGGCAUUUCCUUUCCUGUAUUCAUGGUGGCAUGAUUCGAGUCUAGACUGUGUAGAUGAUGUCCCGGAAGAAGAUGUGCAGCUUGACAACAAUGUGGAGGAGGAGGAGGAUGUCUGCUGGUUUUUAGUACAAAUCUUACUUGGUUAUAUUUUGGUUGUUGGCCUUUUAAGGAUCCUCUAUCUCUUUAGGAAUAUGAUAAGGAAACACCGUGGACAUCUAUCUUGGAAUAGGCUGAAAUGUUCCAAAGACCCUGUUUCUGGCUUCA
rnacentral:lncRNA from 1 species